rnacentral:piRNA from 1 species
UCAAUUGUAUGACUUGGGGCAAUAGAGACU